GCUAGCAGCCAUAUCACCCUGCAACUCAGAACUGGGAACCCACUGAAGCUAAGCAAGGCCGAGCCUGGUCAGUACCUGGUUGGGAGACCUCUUCGGAAAACUUAUGGUUGCUGCUGGAA
ensembl:rRNA 5S_rRNA 5S ribosomal RNA